ACGCUGGCGGUGUGCUUAACACAUGCAAGCCUGGGAGAAGAGAGUAGCAAUACUUUUUGUACACCGGCGCACGGGUGAGUAAUAUAUAGGUAACCUGCCCUUUGGUUUGGAAUAACUCGUCGAAAGGCGAGCUAAUACUGAAUGAUGCAGCGGCUCCACAUGGAGAUGUUGUUAAAGCCUUCGGGCGCCAAGGGAUGGGCCUGUAUCCCAUUAGAUAGUUGGUGAGGUAACGGCUCACCAAGUCAAUGAUGGGUAGCUGAUCUGAGAGGAUGAUCAGCCACACUGGAACUGAGACACGGUCCAGACUCCUACGGGAGGCAGCAGUGAGGAAUAUUGCGCAAUGGAUGAAAGUCUGACACAGCGACGCCGCGUGGAGGAUGAAGGCCCUUUGGGUCGUAAACUCCUGUAGAGUGGGAAGAAUAACCCUUUCGAAGGGUCUGACGGUACCACUAAAGUAAGGAUCGGCUAACUACGUGCCAGCAGCCGCGGUAAUACGUAGGAUCCGAGCGUUGUCCGGAAUUACUGGGUGUAAAGGGAGCGCAGGCGGGUUUAUAAGUCGACGGUGAAAUCUUCGAGCUCAACUCGAAAACUGCCGCCGAUACUGUAGAUCUUGAAUAUGUCAGAGGGAAACGGAAUUCAUGGUGUAGCGGUGAAAUGCGUAGAUAUCAUGAAGAACACCAGUCGCGAAGGCGGUUUCCUGGGACAUUAUUGACGCUCAUGCUCGAAAGUGUGGGGAGCAAACAGGAUUAGAUACCCUGGUAGUCCACACCUUAAACGAUGAAUACUAGGUGUCGGGUCGCAAGACUCGGUGCCAAAGCUAACGCAUUAAGUAUUCCACCUGGGGAGUACGAU
rnacentral:rRNA from 1 species